rnacentral:lncRNA from 1 species
UCCACCUGUUGUAAAAAAUCUGACUUAAGCAUCUGAGGAUUUUCGUUGGAGCCAACUCCGAUGAGGGUUUUUUUGCAGAUCCAGCCACCGUCGAUCCACCGGAUGUAACCUCACUCCAGUGCUUUCGAUCCAAGAUAGAUUUCAGUCGUAACAAAUUCCUUCAUCCAUUUCCUAUGAGAUGGAGUGUUGACUCUAAGGAGGCCCCA